UGUGCACUCCGGAUCCUCCCAGCAUCGGGACUCCCAGACUGCGUGCCUGGGGCUAGGUUUUGAGCCUUGAGGCCGCGUUUAGGGGAUCAAAGCCGGGAAUCCCAUGGACAGAGGAGCCUGGCGGGCUACAUAGCCCAAGGGGUUGCAGAGUCCAACACGACUGAGCGACUGAGUACAUACCGGCACACAUGAAGUAUAUAAUUCACGGAAGUGCGAGCUGAAACCCCUCAGGAUCUGUGGUUGCCUGGGGGUGGGGCUGACAGGAGUAGGAAGGAGGAAACUUCAGGUGAUGAGUCUGCUCACUAUCUCAUCUCCGUGGUAAGAGUGAUUUCACAGGUGCAUGCCGAUGUCAGAAGGUAUCAAUUGUACUUUACACAUUCAUUUUAUUCCAUAUCAGGUAUGUCUCAUAAAGCUGUUUUUAAAAAACUGAUGGGUAUGGAUGACCUUGGAGAAACGUUCACAAUCAAGUUAUAACUAUGUUGGAA
ensembl:lncRNA